UUUGUACUCCCUCCAUCCCAAAAUUGUUGCCUUAAAUUUGUCUAAAUACGGAUGUAUCUAGUUACAUUUUACUGUUAGAUACAUCCGUAUCUAAACAAAUGUAAGACAAGAAUUUUGGGACGGAGGGAAUAGUAC
rnacentral:pre_miRNA from 1 species